UAGGGAAUAUUGCACAAUGGAGGAAACUCUGAUGCAGCGACGCCGCGUGAGCGAUGAAGGCCUUCGGGUUGUAAAGCUCUGUGAUAUGGGAAGAUAAUGACGGUACCAUAUCAGAAAGGACCGGCUAACUUCGUGCCAGCAGCCGCGGUAAUACGAGGGGUCCAAGCGUUGUUCGGAAUUACUGGGCGUAAAGCGGGUGUAGGCGGAUUGGAAAGUCGGAUGUGAAAGUCCAGGGCUCAACCCUGGAAGUGCAUCCGAUACUACUGAUCUUGAGUACUGGAGAGGAUAGUGGAAUUCCUGGUGUAGCGGUGAAAUGCGUAGAUAUCAGGAGGAACAUCGGUGGCGAAGGCGGCUAUCUGGCCAUGUACUGACGCUCAGACCCGAAAACGUGGGUAGCAAACAGGAUUAGAUACCCCCGUAGUCC
rnacentral:rRNA from 1 species